rnacentral:misc_RNA from 1 species
GAAAGUGUUUCGAAUCUUGUGUUAUAGGAACUGUCAAACUUCUAAUAAAUUUUUAUGUUAUAUUUGAUAUUAUAUUAAUAAUUAUUAAGAAAUGAUGUCAGAACGAGAUUACGCGCCAUUAAGUGCAGCGUGCGUUCGUUCUUUGAAUGACAAAAUUUAUGAAAAGCGCAAAGCAGCUGCUUUAGAAAUAGAAAAAAUGGUCAAGGAAUUUGCUGCUCACAAUAAUACUGUUCAAAUAAAGAGAUUAUUGAAAGUUCUUGGUCAAGAUUUUGCAACUUCGCAAAAUCCACAUACAAGAAAAGGAGGCUUAAUAGGCCUAGCAGCUAUAGCUGUUGGUUUAGGAAAAGAUACUGGCCAAUAUAUCGAAGAUCUCAUUCAUCCAAUAAUAGCAUGCUUCUCUGAUUCUGACUUAAGAGUUAGAUAUUAUGCUUGCGAAAGCCUUUAUAAUGUAGUCAAAGUAGCUAGAGGUGCGGUGUUGCCUCAAUUUACAGAUAUUUUUGCAGCUUUAAGUAAAUUAGCAUGUGAUUCGGAGCAAAAUGUUAAAUCUGCGACAGAGUUACUCGAUAGGCUUAUGAAGGAUAUUGUAACGGAAAGUAGUGUGUUUGAUUUAGUUGGUUUUAUGCCACUUUUAAGAGAACGCAUUUAUACUAAAAAUACAUUUGGCAGACAAUUUAUUAUAGCAUGGGUAUCUGUCUUGGAUGCUGUACCCAAUAUGGAUUUUAUUAUAUUCUUACCUGAAAUACUUGAUGGAUUAUUUAGAAUUUUAGAGGAUCCAACACCAGAGAUUAAAAAAACAACAGAUACAGUUCUUGGUGAAUUUUUACGUAGCAUCAAAUCGAAUCCAGCGAGGGUAGACUUUCCAGGAAUGAUUAAUAUAUUAAUUACUCAUGCUCAAAGUACCGACGAACUAUUACAAUUAACAGCGAUAACUUGGAUUAAAGAAUUUGUACAGCUCUCUGGUCCAGUUAUGUUACCAUACAUGUCUGGAAUACUUGUGGCUGUUUUACCAUGUUUAGCAUACGAUGGAGAUACAAGAAAAAAUAUUAAAGAAACUGCAACUCAAGUUAAUGCAAAUUUAAUGAAAUUAAUAAUAAUGGAAAAUUCAGAUGUUUCAAAUAAAGGUUUAAUUAAUGAAAAUAAUAUCAAUUGUGCUAAAGAAUCUAAAGAUGGUAACCAAAGUUGUUCUCUAGCUGAAAGUCUAGAUUUGUCUAGUUUGGUAGAAGUGCUCACCAAACACUUAAUGUACAUGUCUGUUCAAACUAAAGUUGCCGUUUUAAAAUGGCUUUAUCAUUUGUUUACAAAUAUUCCACAUAAAAUGUUUGAUCAUAUAGAAAUAUUGUUUCCAAUUUUAAUGAGAUCUUUGAGUGAUAAUUCUGACGAGGUAGUACAACAAACUUUAGUUGUAAUGGCCGAAAUAAUAAGUUCUAAAUCUUCAGAAGCAAUUACAACUGAUUACCGUAAUAAAGUGCAAAAUAUAUAUUUUACUAAGUUUAUUGUCAAUUUAUUAAGACUAUUUUCAACUGAUAGACAUUUAUUAGAAGAAAGAGGUGCUUUUAUCAUAAGAGAAUUGUGUGUAUUACUCAGUGCUGAAGAUAUAUAUAAAACAUUAGCAAAAAUAUUGUUAUAUGAAGAGAAUUUAAGUUUUGCGUGUACUAUGAUACAAACUUUAAACAUUAUUUUACUAACAAGUUCUGAAUUAUUUGAUUUAAGAAAUAAAUUAAAAGAUUUGGAUUCUUCAGAAAGUUGUGAUUUAUUCCAAUGUCUUUAUGAAUCUUGGUGCCAUAAUCCAGUUGCAACUGUAGCUUUGUGUCUCCUAUCACAACUUUAUCCCCAUGCACUUAAUAUUAUCAAAUCUUUAAGUUACUGUUGAAUUUUUGACGGAAAUAGACAAAUUAGUACAACUUAUUGAAUCACCUAUAUUUACGUAUUUACGUUUACAGUUAUUAGACAGUGAGGAUAAUAUUGACUUAGUUUAUGUAUUGUACGGUUUACUAAUGAUACUUCCUCAAAGUGAGG